AUGUACCACUUGUGCACUGCAGUUUCUGUGCGCCGUCCGCGCCCGCCUGGCGACCGCUCGCGACGUUUCGUUAGCC
rnacentral:sRNA from 1 species